rnacentral:lncRNA from 10 species
UCAAGCCCUCAGAAUGAAGCCCCAGGGACAGCAGGUGCUAAUCCCACAACCCACAGGACUCUCAGCAAGGACUGCCUUCCCGCAAAGAGCAUGAUACUGAAGAGCCCAGCUCCACACCACGACUCCAGCUACACUCCAGCCUUGAAGGAUCUGAAGCCCACAGUGUGGGCUGCUCCGUUUGGUCAGAGCUUCUCAAAUCCCUGGUGCAUGCGAACCAUCUAGGAAUCUUGCGGAAAUCCAGGGGCUGACGCAGAGGUCAGGAGUGGCCUGAAGUUCUCUCAGGAGAAGCUGAUGGUCCCAGAGCACACAGGGAAUACCCAUCAAGGCUCUGCAUGUGUUUGGCUGAUGGCAAACUGGACACCGGGGAUUCUAGUCCUCG